GUGCAAUUAACUGAUAAGGUCCUGUGGCA
rnacentral:piRNA from 1 species